GUGAAGAACGUAGCGAAAUGCGAUAAGUAAUGUGAAUUGCAGAAUUCAGUGAAUCAUCGAAUCUUUGAACGCACAUUGCGCCCCCUGGUAUUCCGGGGGGCAUGCCUGUCCGAGCGUCAUUACAACCCUCAAGCUCAGCUUGGUAUUGGGCCCCGCCGACCCGGCGGGCCCUAAAGUCAGUGGCGGUGCCGUCCGGCUCCGAGCGUAGUAAUUCUUCUCGCUCUGGAGGUCCGGUCGUGUGCUCGCCAGCAACCCCCAAUUUUUUUCAGGUUGACCUCGGAUCAGGUAGGGAUACCCGCUGAACUUAAGCAUAUCAAUAAGCGGAGGA
rnacentral:misc_RNA from 1 species